rnacentral:rRNA from 1 species
ACGUACGCUGGCGGCACGCCUAACACAUGCAAGUCGAACGAAGUAGCAAUACUUAGUGGCAGACGGGUGAGUAACAUGUAGGUAUCUGCCCUUUGGCCUGGAAUAACACGAGGAAACUUGUGCUAAUACCGGAUAAGUCUUUACGGAGAAAGCUUUAUGCACCAUUGGAUGAGCCUGCACUUGAUUAGUUUGUUGGUGGGGUAAUGGCCUACCAAGACUGUGAUCAAUAGCUGAUUUGAGAGGAUGAUCAGCCACAUUGGGACUGAGACACGGCCCAAACUCCUACGGGAGGCAGCAGUGGGGAAUCUUGCACAAUGGAGGAAACUCUGAUGCAGCGAUGCCGCGUGAGUGAAGAAGGCCCUUGGGUUGUAAAGCUCUUUCGUCGGGGAAGAAAAUGACUGUACCCGAAUAAGAAGGUCCGGCUAACUUCGUGCCAGCAGCCGCGGUAAUACGAAGGGACCUAGCGUAGUUCGGAAUUACUGGGCUUAAAGAGUUCGUAGGUGGUUGAAAAAGUUAGUGGUGAAAUCCCAGAGCUUAACUCUGGAACUGCCAUUAAAACUUUUCAGCUAGAGUAUGAUAGAGGAAAGCAGAAUUUCUAGUGUAGAGGUGAAAUUCGUAGAUAUUAGAAAGAAUACCAAUUGCGAAGGCAGCUUUCUGGAUCAUUACUGACACUGAGGAACGAAAGCAUGGGUAGCGAAGAGGAUUAGAUACCCUCGUAGUCCAUGCCGUAAACGAUGUGUGUUAGACGUUGGAAAUUUAUUUUCAGUGUCGCAGGGAAACCGAUAAACACACCGCCUGGGGAGUACGACCGCAAGGUUAAAACUCAAAUGAAUUGACGGGGACCCGCACAAGUAGUGGAGCAUGUGGUUUAAUUCGAAGAUACGCGCAGAACCUUACCAACACUUGACAUGUUCGUCGCGACUCUAAGAGAUUAGAGUUUUCGGUUCGGCCGGACGAAACACAGGUGCUGCAUGGCUGUCGUCAGCUCGUGUCGUGAGAUGUUGGGUUAAGUCCCGCAACGAGCGCAACCCUCACUUUUAGUUGCCAUCAUUAAGUUGGGCACUCUGAAAGAACUGCCAGUGAUAAGCUGGAGGAAGGUGGGGAUGACGUCAAGUCCUCAUGGCCCUUACGUGUUGGGCUACACACGUGCUACAAUGGUAUCUACAACAGGAAGCAAGACUGCGAAGUUAAGCAAAUCCCUAAAAGAUACCUCAGUUCGGAUUGCACUCUGCAACUCGAGUGCAUGAAGCUGGAAUUACUAGUAAUCGUGGAUCAGCAUGCCACGGUGAAUGCGUUCCCGGGUCUUGUACUCACCGCCCGU